rnacentral:rRNA from 1 species
UAGUCCACGCCGUAAACGAUGGUCACUAGUUGUUGGGGCUUUAUGCCUCAGUGAUUAAGAGAAAUUGAUAAGUGACCCACCUGGGGAGUACGAUCGCAAGAUUGAAACUCAAAGGAAUUGACGGGGGCCCGCACAAGCGGUGGAGCAUGUGGUUUAAUUCGAUGAUACGCGAGGAACCUUACCAGGGCUUAAAUGCAUACCGACGGACCGGGAAACUGGUCUUUCUUCGGACGUGAUGCAAGGUGCUGCAUGGUUGUCGUCAGCUCGUGCCGUGAGGUGUCGGGUUAAGUCCCAUAACGAGCGCAACCCUCAUCAUUAGUUGCCAGCGGGUAAUGCCGGGGACUCUAAUGAAACUGCCGGUGUAAACCGAGAGGAAGGUGAGGAUGACGUCAAAUCAGCACGGCCCUUAUGUCCAGGGCUACACACGUGUUACAAUGGUCAGUACAAAGGGCAGCUACCUGGUGACAGGAUGCUAAUCUCUAAAACUGGUCUCAGUUCGGAUCG